rnacentral:rRNA from 1 species
GGCCAGCAGCCGCGGUAAAACGUAGGAGGCGAGCGUUAUCCGGAUUUACUGGGUGUAAAGCGCGUGCAGGCGGUUGGCUAAGUUGGGUGUGAAAGCUCCUGGCUCAACUGGGAGAGGUCGCUCAAGACUGGCCGACUGGAGAGCAGUAGGGGAAGGUGGAAUUCCGGGUGUAGUGGUGAAAUGCGUAGAUAUCCGGAGGAACACCAGUGGCGAAAGCGGCCUUCUGGACUGCAUCUGACGCUCAGACGCGAAAGCUAGGGGAGCAAACGGGAUUAGAGACCCCGGUAGUCCUAGCUGUAAACGAUGUGAACUUGGCGUUGGUUGGGUAAAACCGACCAGUGUCGAAGCAAACGCGAUAAGUUCACCACCUGAGGACUACGGCCGCAAGGUUAAAACUCAAAGGAAUUGACGGGGGCCCGCACA